AUACGUAGGGGGCGAGCGUUGUCCGGAAUGAUUGGGCGUAAAGGGCGCGUAGGCGGCCCGGUAAGUCUGGAGUGAAAGUCCUGUUUUUAAGAUGGGAAUUGCUUUGGAUACUGUCGGGCUUGAGUGCAGGAGAGGUAAGUGGAAUUCCCAGUGUAGCGGUGAAAUGCGUAGAGAUUGGGAGGAACACCAGUGGCGAAGGCGACUUACUGGACUGUAACUGACGCUGAGGCGCGAAAGUGUGGGGAGCAAACAGGAUUAGAUACCCUGGUAGUCCACACUGUAAACGAUGAAUGCUAGGUGUAGGGGGGUAUCGACCCCUUCUGUGCCGCAGUCAACACAAUAAGCAUUCCGCCUGGGGAGUACGGCCGCAAGGUUGAAACUCAAAGGAAUUGACGGGG
rnacentral:rRNA from 1 species